AUUGAACGCUGGCGGCAGGCGUAACACAUGCAAGUCGAACGAGUGGCGGACGGGUGAGUAAUGCUUGGGAAUCUGGCUGAUGGAGGGGGAUAACUACUGGAAACUGUAGCUAAUACCGCAUACCAUCAGAUGUGCCCAAGUGGGAUUAGGUAGUUGGUGGGGUAAAGGCUCACCAAGCCGACGAUCCCUAGCUGGUCUGAGAGGAUGACCAGCCAAACUGGGACUGAGACACGGUCCAGACUCCUACGGGAGGCAGCAGUGGGGAAUAUUGCGCAAUGGGUGCAACCCUGAUGCAGCCAUGCCGCGUGUAUGAAGAAGGCCUUCGGGUUGUAAAGUACUUUCGGCAGCGAGUCGUUACCUCCAGAAGAAGCACCGGCUAACUCUGUGCCAGCCGCCGCGGUAAUUC
rnacentral:rRNA from 1 species